AUUGAACGCUGGCGGCAUGCUUUACACAUGCAAGUCGGACGGGGUCCUGGGGCAACCUAGGAUUCAGUGGCGAACGGGUGAGGAAUCGACCGGAACGUAGCCGGGCGUGGGGGAUAACGCCGCGAAAGCGGUGCUAAUACCGCAUGCGCUCGAGAGAGGAAAGCGGGGGACCUUUGGGCCUCGCGCGCUCGGGGCGGCCGGUCGCCGAUUAGCUGGUUGGUGGGGUAACGGCCCACCAAGGCGACGAUCGGUAGCGGGUCUGAGAGGAUGAUCCGCC
rnacentral:rRNA from 1 species